rnacentral:rRNA from 1 species
UUUCCAGACUCCUACGGGAGGCAGCAGUGGGGAAUAUUGCGCAAUGGGCGAAAGCCUGACGCAGCGACGCCGCGUGAGGGAUGGAGGUCUUCGGAUCGUAAACCUCUGUCAGCAGGGAAGAACGGUUACUGUGCUAAUCAGCAGUGAAUUGACGGUACCUGCAAAGGAAGCCCCGUCUAACUACGUGCCAGCAGCCGCGGUAAUACGUAGGGGGCAAGCGUUAUCCGGAUUUACUGGGUGUAAAGGGAGCGUAGACGGCAUGGCAAGUCAGAUGUGAAAGCCCGGGGCUCAACCCCGGGACUGCAUUUGAAACUGUCAGGCUGGAGUGCAGGAGAGGUAAGUGGAAUUCCUAGUGUAGCGGUGAAAUGCGUAGAUAUUAGGAGGAACACCAGUGGCGAAGGCGGCUUACUGGACUGUAACUGACGUUGAGGCUCGAAAGCGUGGGGAGCAAACAGGAUUAGAUACCCCCGUACC